rnacentral:lncRNA from 1 species
CCUAGACAACCAUGUUCACCGGCCCUCAUUCAGUGAAAACAAGGUCUUCAGCUGAGAGUGAGGUGCUGUCAGACCCGUGGAGAGAGGGCAACUGUGCAGUGACGUCUGGGAGGGGAGAGGAGUGAACCGAGCUGGGACGUGCACCGACACAAUUCCCACCACCAGCAGAAUAUUCAGGUAUUUUUCCUAGCCCAUAUUUAACUCAUAUGGGCACCUCGUUAACAGAGUUG